rnacentral:rRNA from 1 species
AUUGAACGCUGGCGGCAUGCUUUACACAUGCAAGUCGAACGGUAACACGCCUUCGUUUGCUGUCGAGUGUCGGACGGGUGAGUAAUGCAUCCGAACGUACCCAGAGGUUGUGGGUAACGCAGCGAAAGCUGUGCUAAGACCGCAUGUGAUCUGAUGAUUAGAACGGGGGAGCGCGCAGCAAUGUUUGGCCUCUCGCCUUUGGAACGGCUGAUUCCGGAUUAGCUAGUUGGUUGGGUAACGGCCUACCAAGGCGACGAUCCGUAGCUUGCCUGAGAGGACGAUCGGCCACACUGGGACUGAGACACGGUCCAGACUCCUACGGGAGGCAGCAGUGGGGAAUAUUGCGCAAUGGGCGGAAGCCUGAUGCAGCAACGCCGCGUGAGGGAUGACGGCCUUCGGGUUGUAAAACGCUUUUGCUAGUGAAGAAACGGUGUCUGCUAAUACCGGGAGAUAAUGACGGUACCUGAACAAAAAGCAACGGCUAACUACGUG